AUACCCUAUUAUUGAAAAUAUAAAUUGUAGUACUAGAGUAGUAAUAGCUAUGUUCUUGAAAUUCAAAAAAUCUGGCGGUAUUUUAGUCUAUUCAGAGGAACCUGUCCUGUAAUUGAUAAUCCACGAUUAAUUGUACUUAUUUUUAGUUUGUAUAUCGUCGUAGUUAGAAUGUUUUUAAAAAAUAGGGAAUAUUCAAAAUUUAAUUAAAAUUAAAUAAAAUCAGAUCAAGAUACAGCGUAUAAAUAAGAAGAGAUGGGUUACAAUAAAUUUAUUUAAAUGGUUAAAAUAAUUAAAAUUAUUUUAUAAAGUGGAUUUGAUAGUAAUAUAAUUAAUUUAAAUUAUAUGAUUUUAGCUCUAAAAUAUGUACAUAUCGCCCGUCGCUCCUUCUUGAAAGAUGGA
rnacentral:rRNA from 1 species